rnacentral:rRNA from 1 species
AAACCAUGCACCGAAGCUGCGGCAGCGACGCUGAUGCGUUGUUGGGUAGGGGAGCGUUCUGUAAGCCUGUGAAGGUGGCCUGUGAGGGUUGCUGGAGGUAUCAGAAGUGCGAAUGCUGACAUAAGUAACGAUAAAGCGGGUGAAAAGCCCGCUCGCCGGAAGACCAAGGGUUCCUGUCCAACGUUAAUCGGGGCAGGGUGAGUCGACCCCUAAGGCGAGGCCGAAAGGCGUAGUCGAUGGGAAACGGGUUAAUAUUCCCGUACUUGGUGUUACUGCGAAGGGGGGACGGAGAAGGCUAUGUUGGCCGGGCGACGGUUGUCCCGGUUUAAGCGUGUAGGUGUGUGUUCCAGGUAAAUCCGGUUCACUUUAACACUGAGGCGUGAUGACGAGGCACUACGGUGCUGAAGCAACAAAUGCCCUGCUUCCAGGAAAAGCCUCUAAGCAUCAGGUAACAUCAAAUCGUACCCCAAACCGACACAGGUGGUCAGGUAGAGAAUACCAAGGCGCUUGAGAGAACUCGGGUGAAGGAACUAGGCAAAAUGGUGCCGUAACUUCGGGAGAAGGCACGCUGACACGUAGGUGAAGUGAUUUACUCAUGGAGCUGAAGUCAGUCGAAGAUACCAGCUGGCUGCAACUGUUUAUUAAAAACACAGCACUGUGCAAACACGAAAGUGGACGUAUACGGUGUGACGCCUGCCCGGUGCCGGAAGGUUAAUUGAUGGGGUCAGCGCAAGCGAAGCUCCUGAUCGAAGCCCCGGUAAACGGCGGCCGUAACUAUAACGGUCCUAAGGUAGCGAAAUUCCUUGUCGGGUAAGUUCCGACCUGCACGAAUGGCGUAAUGAUGGCCAGGCUGUCUCCACCCGAGACUCAGUGAAAUUGAACUCGCUGUGAAGAUGCAGUGUACCCGCGGCAAGACGGAAAGACCCCGUGAACCUUUACUAUAGCUUGACACUGAACAUUGAGCCUUGAUGUGUAGGAUAGGUGGGAGGCUUUGAAGUGUGGACGCCAGUCUGCAUGGAGCCGGCCUUGAAAUACCACCCUUUAAUGUUUGAUGUUCUAACGUGGACCCGUGAUCCGGGUUGCGGACAGUGUCUGGUGGGUAGUUUGACUGGGGCGGUCUCCUCCUAAAGAGUAACGGAGGAGCACGAAGGUUGGCUAAUCCUGGUCGGACAUCAGGAGGUUAGUGCAAUGGCAUAAGCCAGCUUGACUGCGAGCGUGACGGCGCGAGCAGGUGCGAAAGCAGGUCAUAGUGAUCCGGUGGUUCUGAAUGGAAGGGCCAUCGCUCAACGGAUAAAAGGUACUCCGGGGAUAACAGGCUGAUACCGCCCAAGAGUUCAUAUCGACGGCGGUGUUUGGCACCUCGAUGUCGGCUCAUCACAUCCUGGGGCUGAAGUAGGUCCCAAGGGUAUGGCUGUUCGCCAUUUAAAGUGGUACGCGAGCUGGGUUUAGAACGUCGUGAGACAGUUCGGUCCCUAUCUGCCGUGGGCGCUGGAGAACUGAGGGGGGCUGCUCCUAGUACGAGAGGACCGGAGUGGACGCAUCACUGGUGUUCGGGUUGUCAUGCCAAUGGCACUGCCCGGUAGCUAAAUGCGGAAGAGAUAAGUGCUGAAAGCAUCUAAGCACGAAACUUGCCCCGA